rnacentral:rRNA from 1 species
GUAAUAGCUCACUGGUCGAGUCGGCCCGCGCGGAAGAUGUAACGGGGCUAAACCAUGCACCGAAGCUGCGGCAGCGACACAAAGUGUUGUUGGGUAGGGGAGCGUUCUGUAAGCCUGCGAAGGUGUACUGUGAGGUAUGCUGGAGGUAUCAGAAGUGCGAAUGCUGACAUAAGUAACGAUAAUGCGGGUGAAAAACCCGCACGCCGGAAGACCAAGGGUUCCUGUCCAACGUUAAUCGGGGCAGGGUGAGUCGACCCCUAAGGCGAGGCUGAAAAGCGUAGUCGAUGGGAAACGGGUUAAUAUUCCCGUACUGGUGGUAACUGCGAUGGGGGAACGGAGAAGGCUAGGUUGUCCGGGCGACGGUCGUCCCGGUUCAAGCAGGUAGGCAGAGUGAUUAGGCAAAUCCGGUCACUUAAUGCUGAGAUGUGAUGACGAACCACUAAGGUGGUGAAGCAAUUGAUGCCCCGCUUCCAGGAAAAGCCUCUAAGCUUCAGGUUACCAACAAUCGUACCCCAAACCGACACAGGUGGUCAGGUAGAGAAUACUCAGGCGCUUGAGAGAACUCGGGUGAAGGAACUAGGCAAAAUGGUGCCGUAACUUCGGGAGAAGGCACGCUGGCGGUAGGUAAAGUCCCU